rnacentral:rRNA from 1 species
AGUCGAGGGGUAUAGGUUUUCGGACCUAGAGACCGGCGCACGGGUGCGUAACGCGUAUGCAAUCUACCUUUCACAGAGGGAUAGCCCAGAGAAAUUUGGAUUAAUACCUCAUAGUAUAACGACUCGGCAUCGAGAUGUUAUUAAAGUCACAACGGUGAAAGAUGAGCAUGCGUCCCAUUAGCUAGUUGGUAUGGUAACGGCAUACCAAGGCGACGAUGGGUAGGGGUCCUGAGAGGGAGAUCCCCCACACUGGUACUGAGACACGGACCAGACUCCUACGGGAGGCAGCAGUGAGGAAUAUUGGACAAUGGGCGCAAGCCUGAUCCAGCUAUGCCGCGUGCAGGAUGACGGUCCUAUGGAUUGUAAACUGCUUUUGCACAGGAAGAAACAACUCUACGUGUAGAGUCUUGACGGUACUGUGAGAAUAAGGAUCGGCUAACUCCGUGCCAGCAGCCGCGGUAAUACGGAGGAUCCAAGCGUUAUCCGGAAUCAUUGGGUUUAAAGGGUCCGUAGGCGGUCUUAUAAGUCAGUGGUGAAAUCUCCCCGCUCAACGGGGAAACGGCCAUUGAUACUGUAGGACUUGAAUUAUUAGGAAGUAACUAGAAUAUGUAGUGUAGCGGUGAAAUGCUUAGAGAUUACAUGGAAUACCAAUUGCGAAGGCAGGUUACUACUAAUGGAUUGACGCUGAUGGACGAAAGCGUGGGUAGCGAACAGGAUUAGAUACCCUGGUAGUCCACGCCGUANACGAUGGAUACUAGCUGUUGGAAAGCAUUUCAGUGGCUAAGCGAAAGUGAUAAGUAUCCCACCUGGGGAGUACGUUU